rnacentral:rRNA from 1 species
CCUACGGGUGGCAGCAGUGGGGAAUAUUGGGCAAUGGGGGCAACCCUGACCCAGCAACGCCGCGUGAGGGAAGAAGUCUUUCGGGUUGUAAACCUCUUUUCACAGGGACGAAACAAAUGACGGUACCUGAGGAAGAAGCCACGGCUAACUACGUGCCAGCAGCCGCGGUAAUACGUAGGGGGCAAGCGUUAUCCGGAUUUACUGGGUGUAAAGGGAGCGUAGGCGGGGAUGCAAGUCUGAUGUGAAAAGCGUGGGCUCAACCCGCGGACUGCUUUUGAAACUGUUUGGCUAGAGUGCUGGAGAGGGAAACGGAAUUCCUAGUGUAGCGGUGAAAUGCGUAGAUAUUAGGAGGAACACCAGUGGCGAAGGCGGGUUGCUGGACAGUAACUGACGCUGAGGCGCGAAAGCGUGGGGAGCAAACAGGAUUAGAUACCCUUGUAGUC